rnacentral:rRNA from 1 species
UACGUAGGUGGCAAGCGUUGUCCGGAUUUACUGGGUGUAAAGGGCGUGUAGCCGGGCUGACAAGUCAGAUGUGAAAUUCCGGGGCUCAACCCCGGACCUGCAUUUGAAACUGUUGGUCUUGAGUAUCGGAGAGGCAGGCGGAAUUCCUAGUGUAGCGGUGAAAUGCGUAGAUAUUAGGAAGAACACCAGUGGCGAAGGCGGAUGACUGGACGGCAACUGACGGUGAGGCGCGAAAGCGUGGGGAGCAAACAGG